AUUGAACGCUGGCGGCAGGCUUAACACAUGCAAGUCGAGCGGGGGAGGUUGCUUCGGUAACUGACCUAGCGGCGGACGGGUGAGUAAUGCUUAGGAAUCUGCCAUUUAGUGGGGGACAACAUUCCGAAAGGAAUGCUAAUACCGCAUACGUCCUACGGGAGAAAGCAGGGGAUCUUCGGACCUUGCGCUAAAUGAUGAGCCUAAGUCGGAUUAGCUAGUUGGUGGGGUAAAGGCCAACCAAGGCGACGAUCUGUAGCGGGUCUGAGAGGAUGAUCCGCCAAACUGGGACUGAGACACGGCCCAGACUCCUACGGGAGGCAGCAGUGGGGAAUAUUGGACAAUGGGCGGAGGCCUGAUCCAGCCAUGCCGCGUGUGUGAAGAAGGCCUUAUGGUUGUAAAGCACUUUAAGCGAGGAGGAGGCUACCUAGAUUAAUACUCUAGGAUAGUGGACGUUACUCGCAGAAUAAGCACCGGCUAACUCUGUGCCAGCCGCCGCCGUAAUAC
rnacentral:rRNA from 1 species